UAGUCCACGCCGUAAACGAUGAGAACUAGCCGUCGGGGCCCUUGAGGCUUUGGUGGCGCAGCUAACGCGAUAAGUUCUCCGCCUGGGGAGUACGGCCGCAAGGCUAAAACUCAAAUGAAUUGACGGGGGCCCGCACAAGCGGUGGAGCAUGUUGUUUAAUUCGAUGCAACGCGAAGAACCUUACCACCCCUUGACAUCCUCAGAACUUGUUAGAAAUAACUUGGUGCCUUCGGGAACUGAGUGACAGGUGCUGCAUGGCUGUCGUCAGCUCGUGUCGUGAGAUGUUGGGUUAAGUCCCGCAACGAGCGCAACCCUUGUCUUUAGUUGCCAUCAUUUAGUUGGGCACUCUAGAGAAACUGCCGGUGACAAACCGGGAGGAAGGUAAGGAUGACGUCAAGUCAGCAUGCCCCUUACGCUCUGGGCUACACACGUGCUACAAUGGUCGUGACAAAGAGUUGCUAGUCUGCGAAGGCAAGCCAAUCUCAUAAACGCGGCCUUAGUUCGGAUUG
rnacentral:rRNA from 1 species